rnacentral:rRNA from 1 species
CCUACGGGAGACAGCAGUGGGGAAUAUUGGGCAAUGGAGGCAACUCUGACCCAGCAACGCCGCGUGAAUGAUGAAGGUCUUCGGAUUGUAAAGUUCUGUGAUGGGGGAUGAACACAAUGACGGUACCCCAAUAGCAAGCCACGGCUAACUACGUGCCAGCAGCCGCGGUAAUACGUAGGUGGCAAGCGUUAACCGGAAUGACUGGGCGUAAGGGGUGCGUAGGUGGUUUAGUAAGUUGGCGGUGUAAUUCCGGGGCUCAACCUCGGCGCUACAGCCAAAACUAUUAGACUAGAGUGCAGGAGGGGAGAGUGGAAUGCCUGGUGUAGCGGUGGAAUGCGUAGAUAUUAGGAGGAACAUCAGGGGAGAAGGCGACUUACUGGACUGUAACUGACACUGAGGCACGAAAGCGUGGGGAGCAAACAGGAUUAGAUACCCCAGUAGUC